rnacentral:rRNA from 1 species
UCAUUUAGAGGAAGUAAAAGUCGUAACAAGGUCUCCGUAGGUGAACCUGCGGAGGGAUCAUUACAAGUUGACCCCGGCCCUCGGGCCGGGAUGUUCACAACCCUUUGUUGUCCGACUCUGUUGCCUCCGGGGCGACCCUGCCUCCGGGCGGGGGCCCCGGGUGGACAUUUCAAACUCUUGCGUAACUUUGCAGUCUGAGUAAAUUUAAUUAAUAAAUUAAAACUUUCAACAACGGAUCUCUUGGUUCUGGCAUCGAUGAAGAACGCAGCGAAAUGCGAUAAGUAAUGUGAAUUGCAGAAUUCAGUGAAUCAUCGAAUCUUUGAACGCACAUUGCGCCCCCUGGUAUUCCGGGGGGCAUGCCUGUUCGAGCGUCAUUUCACCACUCAAGCCUCGCUUGGUAUUGGGCGACGCGGUCCGCCGCGCGCCUCAAAUCGACCGGCUGGGUCUUUCGCCCCCUCAGCGUUGUGGAAACUAUUCGCUAAAGGGUGCCGCGGGAGGCCACGCCGUAAAACAACCCCAUUUCUAAGGUUGACCUCGGAUCAGGUAGGGAUACCCGCUGAACUUAAGCAUAUCAAUAA